rnacentral:rRNA from 1 species
GACGAACGCUGGCGGCGUGCUUAACACAUGCAAGUCGAACGAAGAGCGAUGGAAGCUUGCUUCUAUCAGUUUUAGUGGCGAGCGGGUGAGUAACGCGGAAACAACCUGCCCUUCAGAGGGGUACCACAGUUGGAAACGACUUCUAAUCCCACAUACGAUCUAACCUCGGCAUUGAGUAAAGAUGAAAGGUGUCCCCUAUGUAUAAGCUAUCACUGAAGGAGGGUUUUGUGUCUGAUUAGCUAGUUGGGGGGGUAACGGACCAACAAAGCGAAGAUCAGUAGGCGGUCUGGGAGGAGGGACGGCCCCAAUGGGACUGAGACACGGCCCAGACUCCUAAGGGAGGCAGGAGUGAGGAAACUUCCGGAAUGGACGAAAGGCUGGAGGGGCAACGCCGCGUGGGUGAUGACGGGCUUCGGGUUGUAAAGCUCUGUUAAUCGGGACGAAAGGACUUCUUGCGAAAAGUGAGAAGGAUUGACGGUACCGGAAUAGAAAGCCACGGCUAACUACGUG